rnacentral:precursor_RNA from 10 species
UGAGUUUUGCGUACAUUUUUCGGCGGUUGUCGUUCAGUCAUUCUAUGCAUACGUGCUAUACCGGUUUGCAUAGAUUGUCCGAACAUUAACAGCCGAAGGCCAUCUUCAAACGCAAGA